CAAAAAACGGCACCGGAAGCACAAUUAAUAACAAAUAGCACCAUCGUUAUUUGUCGCCGAUUUCGUUAUAGCCUGAAGAUAAACAUUUGCGACACAAACCAAAACAUUGCCUACUUAUUAUGAACUACUUAUUAAUAUUUUCAUAACAACUAUAGAUAAAUAAGCAAACAAAAAGCUUGAAAAAUGGAUAUAAAUAAAGCCAGUUUCAACCUGAACGGGAGAAGUCCGAGAUGAACCGCCAAAGUGCGUGUUAACCGUCAGGUUGGAAAUUAUAACCAACCAAAA